rnacentral:lncRNA from 1 species
GUUCUUCUCAGGGACUGGAGUUCACUGGAAUCCCGAGCGGAAGCAAGGUGAGCCUCUCCAGCUAGCUGCCCUUGAAGGUGGGCAACUUCGUCGGUCGCCAUCCUGAGCCUUCCCUUGUAUUCAUCCACCUGCUUGCACCAGCCGGCCCAAUAUGCGUCAUAGCUCGCCUCGGCAUCCUGGAGUUGUUGUCAGAGGUCAGAGACCUUC